rfam:Schistosoma haematobium scaffold51_45, whole genome shotgun sequence.
AUUCAGCUGACGAGUUGCAAACAGGACGAAGUGGCACGCGUCCUGGAU